rnacentral:rRNA from 1 species
GAUGUUUGGUUAAAAAUACUUAAAUGUUAUAUUUAUAUAAGUGAAUUGUUUUGUGUCAUUAAAGGGUGAAAUCAAUUUUUUGUUGAAUAAAUAAAUUUGUUUAAUAUAAUUUAAUUGAGGUUGUUAAAAUUAAGGUAUGAACCAGGAUUAGAGACCCUGUUACACUUAAUUUUAAGUUCGAAUACCUGGGUAGUAAACAGUUAUAGUCUUGAAACUUAAAGGAUUUGGCGGUAAUUUAGUCUAGUUAGAGGAACCUGUCCUGUAAUCGAUAGUCCACGAAAAAUCUUACUUUAUUUUGAAUAACUCAGUUUAUAUACCGUCAUUAUUAGGUAACUUUAAUAAAAGUAGAAGUUGCUGUAAUAGUUUUUAAUUAAUAUAUUAGAUCAAGGUGUAGCCUAUGGUAAAGUAGAGAUGGGUUACAAUAAUAUUGGUUUAAUAAAACGAAUCUAAAAUAGAAAAGUUUUAGUGAAGGAGGAUUUAAAUGUAAAAAUAUUUUAAUAUGAUAUUUUGAUUGUAGCUCUAGGUUAUGUACACAUCGCCCGUCGCUCU